rnacentral:rRNA from 1 species
CAAUGUCUGAAAAAUAAUAAUAAUUACAACUUUUAACAACGGAUCUCUUGGUUCUGGCAUCGAUGAAGAACGCAGCGAAAUGCGAUAAGUAGUGUGAAUUGCAGAAUUCAGUGAAUCAUCGAAUCUUUGAACGCACAUUGCGCCCCUUGGUAUUCCA